AAGGUCGAUGAAGAAGAUGUUGUCUCUCACAUCCUUGCUGGACUUGACGAGGAGUUCGACCCCGUGGUCUCGGCCAUGUGCUCCAGGGUCGAACCGGUCACUGUCCCGGAGCUGUAUUCACAGAUGUUGAGCUUCGAGA
rfam:Triticum aestivum genome assembly, contig: Triticum_aestivum_CS42_TGACv1_scaffold_146695_2BS